UACGUAGGGACCUAGCGUUGUCCGGAAUCAUUGGGCGUAAAGCGCGCGUAGGCGGCCCGGUAAGUCCGUUGUAAAAGUCAAAGGCUCAACCUUUGAAAGCCGAUGGAUACUGCCGGGCUAGAGUCCGGAAGAGGCGAGUAGAAUUCCUGGUGUAGCGGUGGAAUGCGCAGAUAUCAGGAGGAAUACCCAUAGCGAAGGCAGCUCGCUGGGACGGUACUGACGCUGAGGCGCGGAAGCGUGGGGAGCGAACAGG
rnacentral:rRNA from 1 species